rnacentral:rRNA from 1 species
UAUGAGAGCGGCGAACGGGUGAGUAACACGUUGGUACCUGCCCCUAAGUCAGGGAUAGCCAGUAGAAAUGCUGAUUAAUACCGGAUGUGCUCUUCGGAGUAAAGAUUUAUCGCUUAGGGAGGGGCCUGCGUUCUAUCAGCUAGUUGGUGAGGUAAUAGCUCACCAAGGCUAUGACGGAUAAUUGGUCUGAGAGGAUGACCAGUCACAAUGAAACUGAGACACGGUUCAUACUCCUACGGGAGGCAGCAGUGAGGAAUCUUCCACAAUGGACGAAAGUCUGAUGGAGCGACACCGCGUGAAGGAUGAAGGCCUAACGGUUGUAAACUUCUUUUCUGAGGGAGCAUAAUGAGAGUACUUCAGGAAUAAGGAGCGGCAAAUCACGUGCCAGCAGCCGCGGUAAUACGUGAGCUCCAAGCGUUACCCGGAAUUAUUGGGUGUAAAGGGUCCGUAGGUGGAUUCUUAAGUCAGGUAUGAAAGACCGAGGCUCAACCUCGCGUUUGUGCUUGAAACUGGGAAUCUGGAAUCAGGGAGAGGUUAGCGGAAUUCUAAGUGUAGGGGUGCAAUCCGUAGAUACUUAGAAGAACACCAAAAGCGAAGGCAGCUAACUGGAACUGUAUUGACACUGAGGGACGAAAGCGUGGGGAGCAAAAAGGAUUAGAUACCCUUGUAGUCCACGCCCUAAACGAUGAUAACUAAGUGUCGGGAAUUGUCCCGGUGCUGAAGCUAACGCGAUAAGUUAUCCACCUGAGGAGUACGGUCGCAAGAU